rnacentral:rRNA from 1 species
GACAGAGGGGGCAAGCGUUGCUCGGAAUUAUUGGGCGUAAAGAGCUCGUAGGCGGCUCGUCGCGUCGACCGUGAAAACCCGCGGCUUAACUGCGGGCUUGCGGUUGAUACGGGCGGGCUAGAGUUCGGUAGGGGAGACUGGAAUUCCUGGUGUAGCGGUGAAAUGCGCAGAUAUCAGGAGGAACACCGGUGGCGAAGGCGGGUCUCUGGGCCGAUACUGACGCUGAGGAGCGAAAGCGUGGGGAGCGAACAGG